AUGAUGGCACUGGGUCCGUUAAUGUAUACUUCUGGUUUGAUGGCCGUCAAGACUCCAAGGAUGCUUGGUCGUUCAACGAAGGCAUGUAUGUACGUGUUGUUGGGAGGGCUACCAGUUUGGAGCAAUUUUUCCAAAUCAAAGCCUACAUGGACCGUAAAGAACUUCAAUGAUAUAACCCAUCACUUUAUCUACUGCAUCAAGGCCCAUAUCAAUAUUUCUAAGCAGAGCAGACUAAAGCUUCAGGAAAAUUCCGUUGCCACCCCGUCAGCAUCAACCGUCAUGCCAAGGUAUCAGAUUGCUCCGAGCCAGAUACCAGAAGAUUGCAGCUUUGAGGAGAAGAUAUUUUCGUGA
rnacentral:rRNA from 1 species